rnacentral:sRNA from 1 species
GGAUGUGAGAGUGAUCUGGCUGUGACAUCUGUCACCCCAUUGAUUGAAAGGGUUGAUUCGACUAAUCUGGCUGGCUGGGCAGGUGUCCCCAUCCUCCCUCACUGCUCCUUGUGCAUCUCCGCAGAAGCUGCGUGCUCCGUCGAAGGGGACAACCUUCCCCAAAAGAGGAGGACCAUUCUUCGGUCGAGGGUGUAUGAGUAGCUGCGCUCCCCUGCUGGAAUCUCCGAACAAGCUUUCAAGCUCCGAAAUUCUUGUUGAAGCCCCAGUCCCCUGUUCCUCAGAAAGUGGCUGCAUUUGGAGAUAAGG